UACGUAGGGUGCGAGCGUUGUCCGGAAUUAUUGGGCGUAAAGAGCUCGUAGGCGGUGUGUCACGUCGGCCGUGAAAACCUGCAGCUUAACUGUGGGCGUGCGGUCGAUACGGGCAUCACUGGAGUUCGGCAGGGGAGACUGGAAUUCCUGGUGUAGCGGUGAAAUGCGCAGAUAUCGGGAAGAACACCCGUGGCGAAGGCGGCUCUCUGGGACGGUACCGACGCUGAGACGCGAAAGCGUGGGGAGCAAACAGG
rnacentral:rRNA from 1 species